ACACGUAGGGGGCGAGCGUUGUUCGGAAUCAUUGGGCGUAAAGGGCGCGCAGGCGGCCGGGUAAGUCUGGUGUAAAAUGGUCAUGCUCAACAUGAUCAUGCGCUGGAAACUGCUUGGCUUGAGUCAACGAGGGGAUGCCGGAAUUCCAGGUGUAGGGGUGAAAUCUGUAGAUAUCUGGAAGAACACCGAUGGCGAAGGCAGGCAUCUGGCGAAUGACUGACGCUGAGGCGCGAACGUGCGGGGAGCAAACAGGUUUAGAUCCCCUGGUAGUCCGCACCGUAAACGAUGUGCACCAGGUGGCGGGCAGCAGCUCUGGUUCCCGAAGCAAACACAUUAAGUGCACCGCCUGGGGAGUAUGCUCGCAAGGGUGAAACUCACAGGAAUUGACGGGG
rnacentral:rRNA from 1 species